GAAAGAAGAACACGAAAACUUGACAGCCCUGGCGCAGGGCAGAGUAAAUGCAAUAUUAUUUCGAGAAAGGAAAACGCUAUUACAGUGCUAAAAUAUUUUG